UCCCUAGUGGCUCAGAUGGUAAAGAAUUUGCCUGCAAUGCAGGAGACCCAGGUUUGAUCCCUGGGUUGGGAA
rnacentral:tRNA from 1 species